rnacentral:rRNA from 1 species
GUUAGGAAUAUUGGACAAUGGGCGCAAGCCUGAUCCAGCUAUGCCGCGUGAGCGAUGAAGGCCUUCGGGUUGUAAAGCUCUUUAGCCGACGAUUAUAAUGACUGUAGUCGGAGAAUAAGCCCCGGCUAACUUCGUGCCAGCAGCCGCGGUAAUACGAAGGGGGCGAGCGUUGUUCGGAAUCACUGGGCGUAAAGCGUGCGUAGGCCGUUCCGUAAGUUGGAAGUGAAAGCCCGAGGCUUAACCUCGGAAUUGCUUUCAAAACUGCGGAACUAGAAUUCGGGAGAGGAUAGCGGAAUUCCCAGUGUAGUAGUGAAAUACGUAGAUAUUGGGAGGAACACCAGUGGCGCAAGCGGCUAUCUGGACCGACAUUGACGCUGAGGCACGAAAGCGUGGGGAUCAAACAGGAUUAGAUACCCGUGUAGUCC